rnacentral:rRNA from 2 species
AACUUUCAGCGACGGAUGUCUUGGCUCCCACAACGAUGAAGAACGCAGCGAAAUGCGAUACGUCUUGCGACUUG